rnacentral:rRNA from 1 species
GAGUUUGAUCGUGGCUCAGGAUGAACGCUGGCGGCGUGCUUAACACAUGCAAGUCGAACGAUGAAGCCCAGCUUGCUGGGUGGAUUAGUGGCGAACGGGUGAGUAACACGUGAGUAACCUGCCCUUGACUCUAGGAUAAGCCCGGGAAACUGGGUCUAAUACUGGAUAGGAACGUCUACCGCAUGGUGGAUGUUGGAAAGAAUUUCGGUCAUGGAUGGACUCGCGGCCUAUCAGCUUGUUGGUGAGGUAAUGGCUCACCAAGGCGACGACGGGUAGCCGGCCUGAGAGGGUGACCGGCCACACUGGGACUGAGACACGGCCCAGACUCCUACGGGAGGCAGCAGUGGGGAAUAUUGCACAAUGGGCGAAAGCCUGAUGCAGCGACGCCGCGUGAGGGGUGACGGCCUUCGGUUGUUAACCGUACUUUCUAGUAGG